GAGAUGGCUUAGUGCCUUCGGGAACCGUGAGACAGGUGCUGCAUGGCUGUCGUCAGCUCGUGUUGUGAAAUGUUGGGUUAAGUCCCGCAACGAGCGCAACCCUUAUCCUUUGUUGCCAGCACGUAAUGGUGGGAACUCAAAGGAGACUGCCGGUGAUAAACCGGAGGAAGGUGGGGAUGACGUCAAGUCAUCAUGGCCCUUACGAGUAGGGCUACACACGUGCUACAAUGGCAUAUACAAAGAGAAGCGAACUCGCGAGAGCAAGCGGACCUCAUAAAGUAUGUCGUAGUCCGGAUUGGAGUCUGCAACUCGACUCCAUGAAGUCAGAAUCGCUAGUAAUCGUAGAUCAGAAUGCUACGGUGAAUACGUUCCCGGGCCUUGUACACACCGCCCGUCACACCAUGGGAGUGGGUUGCAAAAGAAGUAGGUAGCUUAACCUUCGGGAGGGCGCUUACCACUUUGUGAUUCAUGACUGGGGUGAAGUCGUAACAAGGUAACCGU
rnacentral:rRNA from 1 species